rnacentral:rRNA from 1 species
GAUGAACGCUGGCGGCGUGCCUAAUACAUGCAAGUAGAACGCUGAAGGAGGAGCUUGCUCUUCUGGAUGAGUUGCGAACGGGUGAGUAACGCGUAGGUAACCUGCCUGGUAGCGGGGGAUAACUAUUGGAAACGAUAGCUAAUACCGCAUGACAACAGUUAUUGCAUGAUAACUGUUUAAAAGGGGCAACUGCUCCACUACCAGAUGGACCUGCGUUGUAUUAGCUAGUUGGUGAGGUAACGGCUCACCAAGGCGACGAUACAUAGCCGACCUGAGAGGGGGAUCGGCCAAACUGGGACUGAGACACGGCCCAGACUCCUACGGGAGGCAGCAGUAGGGAAUCUUCGGCAAUGGACGGAAGUCUGACCGAGCAACGCCGCGUGAGUGAAGAAGGUUUUCGGAUCGUAAAGCUCGGUUGUAAGAGAAGAACGAGUGUGAGAGUGGAAAGUUCACACUGUGACGGUAUCUUACCAGAAAGGGACGGCUAACUACGUG